rnacentral:rRNA from 1 species
GUGAAAGCCCCGGGCUUAACCUGGGAACUGCAUUUGAUACUGGGUAACUAGAGUUUAGUAGAGGAGAGUGGAAUUUCAGGUGUAGCGGUGAAAUGCGUAGAGAUCUGAAGGAACACCAGUGGCGAAGGCGACUCUCUGGACUAAAACUGACGCUGAGGUACGAAAGCGUGGGUAGCAAACAGGAUUAGAUACCCUGGUAGUCCACGCCGUAAACGAUGUCAACUAGCCGUUGGGCCUAUUUACAGGCUUAGUGGCGCAGCUAACGCAUUAAGUUGACCGCCUGGGGAGUACGGCCGCAAGGUUAAAACUCAAAUGAAUUGACGGGGGCCCGCACAAGCGGUGGAGCAUGUGGUUUAAUUCGAUGCAACGCGAAGAACCUUACCUACCCUUGACAUGCAUAGAAUC